UUGAUCCGAUUUCAAUCUCAAUUGUGUCAUGGUAACAUGGAUACAGUUCUCGGAAUUCUGUUAUACAAAUGGUCCCUGAAUGUAAAAGAGUACUUAAUAAUAUAUAGCCACUGCCAUUGUUGAAAUGUUACUUGCCUGGCAACUACACAUACCACAUUAUAUCAUUUUGGGAAGGUGGAUUAAUCAUUGCAGACUUUCAGUUUGUUUCUAGCAUUAUCGGACGCAUUUUGGAACAGAACCAGGUCACAUCGAGUGAUAACAGUUGGACAUCUACACAACUCCUCACAAUCCUAAAUCGGACGCAUUUUGGAACAGAACCAGGUCACAUCGAGUGAUAACAGUUGGACAUCUACAUAACUCCUCACAAUCAUAA